UCUAUAAAUACUGAUAAAUUUGAGAAUGCAAGAGCAGGUUGCUCUUGAAAAGACAUCGAAGCAGCGUUUGCUAGAAGCCUCUGCCUAAGGAAUUCUCAACAUGCUGCGCGUCUUUCUGCUCCUCGCUCUAUGUUUAGCUGUUGUGACCUGUCAGGGUUGCCCACCUUGGAUAUGCAACAAUAACAACAAUUUCUGGAACAACAACAAUGGGUGGAACAACAACAAUUGGUGGAACAACAACAAUGGGUGGAACAACAACGAUUGGUGGAACAACAACAAUGGGUGGAAUAAUAACAAUUGGUGGUAGAACAGUAUUUAGUUAUAACUAAAGUUGUACAGACAUGCCUAAAGCGCUGAAUGGAUGGACUGAGUCUGAAGUUUUAACUAUGUUGAUCUCUUGGGGAUUGUUGUAAAAAUAAAAUAUAAAAACAUA